GUCUCCGAUGAUGAUGUUUUAUACUUUCGUUCUUCUGAAGUUGCAAUGUGGAAGAGCAAUUUGGAGACCUGAACUGAGGUGCU
rnacentral:snoRNA from 1 species